CUUGAGCGAGAGACUCUCUCUCUCUCUCUCUCUCUCUCUCUCUCUCCUCGUCGUCCUCCUCCUCCAAAACCCUAGAAAAAGAACCAAACCUUCAAAUCCCCUAUAGAUCUUCAUACAUUCUUUGCAUUUGAGAUGAAAGUAACAUAGAUCUUGGAUUCACACAAGCAGACGAGCACCACCAUCGACCACCAUCAGCCGCUGCCACUCCGAGCUUGGAGUUCGAUUCCGAGCUUGGAGUUCAAUUCUGACUCUAAGCCCCUUCCACGGAUUCGAUUAAUUUGGUGUUUGCAUAUCUAUUCGAUUAAUUCGAUUCGAAGCCUUGAAUUUAUGUGUUCGAUUCUCCUCUCUCAUCUCUCUUUGAUUUUGAUUUCUAGGGUUUUCAUGCCCUUAUUGAAUGUGUUUUCACUUCUGUGAUUGCUCGUUUUGGGAUUGAACAAAAAGGACCUCUUUGCGAUCGCUUCAGUCAAAGUCUACUUGGAAGAACGUUUUCACGGAGCUUGCAGCCCUAGCCGGGGCAAAUAUGCACACCCUCUAAACCAAAUUAGGGUUCGACAAGCAAAAAAUGGGAUGUACGGCCAAAUCUAUGAAACAGACAAAAAAGAAAGAAGAGACUACAAAUAUUGAUUAAUGCUUCUGCAAAAGCAAAGUACUGUUUGGCCAGCUUUGUUUUUGGUGUACACCACACCACAGGCUUUUUCUACAGUCCACACCAGUUCAUCGCCGAACGCAUAAUAUUCGCCUCUGCCGAACCGGACGGGAUAGGCAUCUUUGAAUUUUAGCAAGUGUUGAUGGGUUCGAAUGAUGAGAGAUGCAGCGAUAAUUUUGAUUUAGGGCUUGACGUCUCUCCCAAAGAGGACUACGAACUUAGGAGUACAAUCAUCGAUGAUGAUAAGGAUAAAUUUGUGUCCGGAAUUAAUCGCCAUAAAUAUAAAGCUGAUGUAAUCCCGCUGGUGCACUGGGAAUGGAUUUUUGAAUAUGGAGCCCUUAAAUGUGCUGCCGCAUUGUUUCAAGGAGAGACCAGUCAGACAGUUGAUUUCUACAGCAGUGACACAUUCAGAUUGCCCAUGACGCAUACACUGGCUCGUACUUAUAACUAUGACCUUAUUGAGUUAUUUAUUUGCCAUGGAGCUUCAUUUGAUCACAGGUGUUAUGGUGUCGGACAAUCUUUGGGGUACCUAGAAGGGAAGCUGCCACUAAAUACAGCUGUUGAAUCAAUAUUAAAAAGCAGAUGGAUUCUAUCAGGGUGCUUGUAUUGAACACGAAAGAAGCUGAGCUAGAAAUUUGUCACUAUGCAAAGGAAGGAAAUGUUGUAGAACUGGCUGUUCUUCUGAUGACUGCUAGGGAAGAGGUGGCUCUACUCAAGUCUCAGAUCAGAGAUGGUUCUACUUCAAAUGGACGCAUAUCUAUCCACCAAUAUAUCUUAAGUAAGAUGGAGCACUAAUUUGUGAGGAGUAGAAACCCACAUCCUACAAUGAACAAAAGAAGUUGCUUCUGGGGGCAAGGCCGCAUUUACAUCUGUAUUAGUGCUGCUUGAAUUUUUUGAGAUGGAGGGUGACACUAUCGAAGCAAUAUUCGGCAAGAACGAGCUAAUUUGUCAAAAGAACAGGUGGCCUUAGAUAUUGCAUGGCUACUCCAGGGAGCGAAGAUACAGCCAAAGUACCGAGGCAUUAAUUUGAACAAGAUCUGGUCCGUGACUUUUACUUUUCUGUUAAUGUUCAUACAACCUUUUGAGGAUAUUUAUUUCGUAUUGUCUUUCAUUCAUUAAUUGAGUCAACUUUUAAUGUUAUUAUAUUAAAUUGAACUCAAUAUCUCAACGUGCUUAUAAUUAUCUGUAUUGAUGAAUGUAUGUUUUGUUUUGUUGACAUGAUGCUAUCUAUGUUAUUGGGAAAGGUCAAGACCUGAGAGGUGUUUAGGUGAGGUUGACUCAGGGCUUUUAACAGUUUUAAGUGUUCCAUACAUCAAAGAAAAGGAAGAGGAAGUAGCUCCCCAAAAGAAAAGGAUUUUGUUUCACUUGUUUUAUUUUAUGUAUUUGUUUAUUACUAUAUUUAUAUUGUUUUGUAAGGAUUUAUCCAACCAACGAGGUAUGCAAUUCGAGCAAAGGAAUUGGUGAAGAGGAAGUUGAAGGAUGGGGAAAUGAAUCGUAACACAAAGGUUGGUAUCGAGGGACCUGAGGAAUCAGUUACAGAAGAGCCAAAGGCAGCUAUCUGUUUUAGUUCUAGCAAGAUGGAAGCCAUUUAUUCAAAAAUUUGUAAGAGCAACAGAGUCCCUAAAAAUGAUCGUGACAAAGCUUCAAACAAAGAGAUUAACAUUUUUCCCACUGGCUGGUCGAGUUGGACCUUUAAGGCCCGAUCAUUCCAUACAAUACGAGCAGCCUCAUGUUCUCUGUCUACUACCUCCUCUAGGGAUGUUCAGGCAAAGAGAAUGAUCAAACCAAGAAAGCUAUAUCUGGAAAAUAUUUUGUCAUGCCAGCAAUGCGCCUCCGUUGCGAUUGCUAUUAAGAUGGGGAUAAGGCGUUUAUGAUUUGAUUAUGUACUCUAUUUGACGUAUGAGUGUUGGUCUGACAUUUUCUUUUAUUUUACUUUUGAAAUCUUAAAGUUAUCUCUGCCCCAUGGUUUUUUCGAUCUCUGCUACAUGAUUCCGCAUCUGCACUACUGCACUUUCUCUCUGGGAUGAGGUGGUUGGCUCAACCACUGCUGCUGAAGUAGGUGAUGGGGAUGAAGUGAUGCAACCCAUCACAACUAAUGCUGCUAUUGGCUGAAAAAUGAACCCCUAUUCUUAACUCUGCAUCCUCCUUUAGAUAUUUUGUAAAGAAUUCACAUCA